GGAGAAGAAGGGACAUGAGGAGUAUGUCCAUAGGAGGAAAAGAGGCUGAGGAAGGGCUUUGAGAAGGUGACCUGGAGCUGAGAGUGAUCACAGAGGGGACCUUCUUGUCAAUGAGCCAUGGUUUCAAAGCUGCCUAUUGUCUCACAGCUCACCCAGCCUUAGAUGUAUAUAACUGCCAUCCCGUGAUCAGCUUGAAGAUGAAGUUGAUGCAAAGGAUACUAGAAUAAAACAAGCUGGAAGGGUUAGGGAGCUGGUCAGAGAUGGACAUGAAAUGCAGUAGGAGAAAGGUGUAACAAGUCAGAACCCGAGAUGGCUUACUCCUGCUUACUCCCUUCAUUCAGAGGCUUUCAUAGUCCUACCUUCCCAGAGACAAAUAUCCCUUGCUUCACAAUCUCAUCUGCUGCAUGCUGCUGCUUUUAGGCAGCACCCACAUUUGUGAUAAGUCUUUUCAAGAAUGACAGUAUCUGAUGAGCAUGUUGAGAUCUCAAUGAGCCUUGCAACUACUUCCAUCAG